UUACAAAUGUUAUUGCUAGAUUAUAGAAGAAACACUUCCAUCCAUCGAAUGAUUAGACAUGGCUGUCUAUUGUCUGUAACGUUACAAUAUAUCCUGAAGGGAAGUGCAGAAAGGAUGUUGGAAAGUUGACUGAUGAGCGCUAGUUGCUACUGUUCAACAGUUUCUGCACAGUCCCAUACGAGAAACAACAAACGUUUAUUCACUCUGGCUUCGAACAGGUUAGAAAUAAGACAAAACUGCUGUUAUAAUAGCUAUACAGAACAUUUGCAUGGUUAAACUUUCACAGCAGUUUCGUGGGUGGGGUGGGAGGGGUCCUGUAACCUGAUUUGUACCUGGGUUAUAGUGACUCAGUUGCACUCCAAGGCAGGUGCUUAGGCCAUUAUGAAAAUACAACUUUAGGAACAUCUUGAUGUCUUCUGUGAUCUCCUUAGAGGACACAUUGGAUGCAUGCCCCAGUGAAAGAGGGCAUCAAGGUGCACAUUCUGUCUUUCUGAAGUACCCAGAACCACCACUCUCGGAUGAAAGGAGACGUACACUGAGAAUGCCUCAGCCCCGAUCUGAAUUUGUCGUGAAUGUACCGACUCUAGAGACAGAAGAACACCAAAUCUGCAACAUUCAGUGUUUAGAGGGACAUUUUCAAACUGCAGAGUCUCAAUUCUGGCCGACCCAUGAGUGACACUUGUGGCAAAUUUGACAUGUUCUUUGCUAAGAUGUCAGCAGCAACAUCUGCAAAGGGAGAUUGCAGUUGAGUUUCACCAUCCAAAAGGCCUACACACAGCUUGAAUAUGACACUGUGUGGGCUAAAGCCAAUGCUGACUGCCAUGUCAUUUCUGUGGAUCUACAGGGGGUUGUGUACACCCCUAAUCUGGCCCACUGCGAUGUCUACUACUAGCGUCAGCUGUUAUAUUUUAACCUUUGCAUCCAGGAGCUUGGAAAAGAAGGUCCUUCAUGCAUGUGUGUUUGGCAUGAUGGGAUUGCCCCCUGAGGAGCCAUUUCCAAAUUCACGCCACUCAUCAAACCAGAGGGUACGCAAGCUGAUCUUCAGUGACAGAUGCUGUGGGCAGAAUAACAACUGGCGGAUAACAAUCUGAGGUUGAUGCUCAUCUCUGUCACUUUAACGAAGUUGAGCGGAGGUUCAUGGUCUCUGGUCAUUCUUUUCUUCCUUGUGAUCAAUCUUUUGCCGCCAUUGAGACGAGGCGGAAGGUUUCAGUCCUGCAUACACGUGAUGUUUCACAGAUGAUACCUGAAGCAUCAACAGCGAACCAAUUCAAGGCCAUGAGGAUGCAAUGUGAAGACUUCAGGCAUCUCCCAGAUUCUGCCCUCAAGCGACAAGCUGGACUACAGAUCACCUCAAUGAGGUGGUUGAAAGUCACAGCUGAGGAUCCUUGAUUCUGUUCACCAGGCAGAGCCACUGUUUGUUGGAGGGCUGAACAUCAUGGCUGAUGGCCAAACCAGAACCAAGAGGGACACUUCAACCUCCCUACUUGGCAUGCCACUACCCAGAAUGAGUCCUUUGUCCAUCAAAAAAGACCAAGACCUAAUGACCAUGCUGAACUACUUGCCAGCUGCUUCACUCUUUUUCACUGCAGAGUUAAUAAUUUGUUGUUAAACCAAGCUACAUAAUAAAAAAAUAUCUGUAUUCUGUGAGUUUAUGAUUCUCUGAACCUGUAUAGUGUGUUGAAUCUGGAUACAUUUCCAAAGAUAAUGUAAUCUGUAUUUGAGAAAUUGACAUGUUCAGUAGGUAUUUUCUAUGUGAAUCAAUUUGUGUAAAAUGUGUGCAGAUCCCAGUGCAGAGAAUGUUAUGUACAGUGUUUUCUGUUGUGAAUUAUUUAGUGUGAUUGUUUAAACUUUUUAUCUGAAUUAAAGAAAUGUCAUUCCA